UGGGAACGUGCCUUUCGGUUCGGAACAACCCAGGGAAACUUGGGCUAAUACCGGAUACACCCUUACGGGGAAAGAUUUAUCGCCGAAAGAUCGGCCCGCGUCUGAUUAGCUAGUUGGUGAGGUAAUGGCUCACCAAGGCGACGAUCAGUUGCUGGUCUGAGAGGAUGAUCAGCCACACUGGGACUGAGACACGGCCCAGACUCCUACGGGAGGCAGCAGUGGGGAAUAUUGGACAAUGGGCGCAAGCCUGAUCCAGCCAUGCCGCGUGAGUGAUGAAGGCCCUAGGGUUGUAAAGCUCUUUCGGCGGGGAAGAUAAUGACGGUACCCGCAGAAGAAGCCCCGGCUAACUUCGUGCCAGCAGCCGCGGUAAUACGAAGGGGGCUAGCGUUGCUCGGAAUCACUGGGCGUAAAGCGCACGUAGGCGGGAUUGCUAAGUCAGGGGUGAAAUCCUGGAGCUCACMUCCAGAACUGCCUUUGAUACUGGCGAUCUUGAGUCCGGGAGAGGUGAGUGGAACUCCGAGUGUAGAGGUGAAAUUCGUAGAUAUUCGGAAGA
rnacentral:rRNA from 1 species